UGCCCAGCAACUCCUACCCCUACCUCCUCGUGGUACCGGCCGGAAACUAUGAGCAACCGGGUAACCAAUCCCGGUGGGAACUUUGGUUGUAGGGUGACAGGGAAGG
rfam:Aedes albopictus isolate Foshan contig5513, whole genome shotgun sequence.